rnacentral:lncRNA from 1 species
GGCCUGGCCGCGCAGCGGCCGGGCCCCCACCCCCGCCAUAAUAGUCCCUGUUAUGACGUCGGCUGCAACCCUUGCCCGAGCAGCAGGAGAAGCCCGCGGAGGCUCGUUGCCUCCCGGCCAACUUAGAAACUUUUCCGUGAUACUUUCGAUACUUUUAUCUCGUAAGAGAGCUUAAAAUGAACAACGACAUUAAAGGGUUAAAUUGUCUUGUGUUAAUUCCUAAAAUAACGCUGCAGGAUGUACGGUAGGGUUGAAUGUGUGUUCGAGUGGAGGGAAGCUUAAGAAAGAUGCAAGCUAUCGAAUUUGGAUUUACGUUCGUUGCACAUAUCGGUUUUAAUGGGUUCGAGGAAAAUCUACCGCGGAAGCGGAGGAUAUAUUAAAUUUAUGCCCACAUAUAGAAAAUCGUUAAUGUACUUACAACCUUCUGUUGAUGAUCGAGCACUACUUGUUGGUUGCAAUGGCGCUAUUCCCAGACCACGGCGAUCGGCACAUUUCGAUCCUUUCGCCGGCCCCCGUUGUAGCGGGCAGGGCGCGCAUGGGUUCGUUAAACUUGCCACCUUGCUUGCAGUUUUGUUGUCAUCGUACGGGGAAGGUGAACAUUUUUAAAAACAACACUGAGUUCCGGCUCAUAUCCAACUAAUCUGUUUUCCGCUUGCGUUCUCCGGGUGCGUUUCGGGUGUCUCGCCCUCACUUCUUAUUCGGCGAACGUCCGUCUGCGGCCGCUGUGUCCAUUGUCGAGAAUCGGCGUACACAAUUGAAUUUGUUUAUGUUCGCUUCCGUUCUGUCGGAUAUCCAUUCGAGCACACUUUCACAUCCAUUCCGUCCGCACGACAAAUUUACGUCGCGGCAACUUCGGAUUGGGAACUUUCUGACCGAUCCUAGCUCCCUCUGCUCUACCGGGCUAUUUUCGUUGACCGGAAUUUCCGUGCUUCUUCUGUUGCGAUCGCUCAGGAAACCGGAUGCAGGAGAAAAUAUGCUGUUCUAGCCCGGCGGGACAAGCUUCGCUAUUACGAUGAGAAAAAGAUUUUCCUCGAACCCAUUAAAAUA